GCUGUGACUUUGCUGCAGGUGCUAACAGGAGGAGACAAUAGGCUGCCAGGCAGAGGCAGAGGGAGGGAAAACUGGAUUCCCACACAUCCUGCGGCCUUGGCAAGUGGCACACAUUGCAUGAGUCUGUGAAAAUAACUUCUACUGGGAAUAUGUGCCAUAAAUAAACAAAGACUGCUCAGAAAGUUAACAAGAAUGAAGGAAUGAGAGAGGAAGAAGAGAGGAUCCUUGAAGGGCAUUGCCUUGGCAGCGCUAACAGGGUGGUCAGACAUAGCAGAGGAGAAAGGACAGAGGAAGCCAGCUAGAGGAUGCAAGAGCCCCCAGGAAUCAGCCAAGAGUGUGAACAGGGUGGAUGGAAAAGAGACCAAGAGAAAAAAAUAAGUGGCUUAAUGACCCAACUCUACCCAGAGAAUGGAAAAUAAAAUGCAAGAUUCUAAACCCCGCCCUUCCAUUUCAUCUUCAUUUUUGAAAAAUUCAGGAAAAGGUGGGCUGUUUUGCCUUCCUACCAUGGACGAGGAUCUUGAAGGAGAAACUUGGCAGAGCUUUUCCAUUCCCUGGGGCUUCGGCCAAGCAGUAGAGGAUGAAGGAGAACAUAUCUGCCAGCUGCUGCCGAGAGGCCAGAGAGUGUGGAGGCCACCUUCCAAUUCUACCUUCUCAAACAGACCAUGCUAUAUACUUCACCUGAUGUUUCUGAAAACGCACAAAUAAAAUCAUGAAUAUCCAUCAUGUACCUUGUUGUUACACAGGUAGUAGAAUCGCACCAGAG
rnacentral:lncRNA from 1 species